rnacentral:rRNA from 1 species
UUAUGCUAAUAAGAGCGUAUGGUGGAUGCCUUGGCACUAAGAGCCGAUGAAAGACGUGAUAAGCUGCGAAAAGCUUCGGGGAGGAGCAAAUAUCCAUUGAUCCGGAGAUUUCUGAAUGGGGAAACCUACUUGAGAAGACCUCAAGUAUCCACAGCCCAAUCCAUAAGCUGUGGAAGGGAACCCGGUGAACUGAAACAUCUAAGUAGCCGGAGGAAGAGAAAACAACAUGUGAUUCCGUAAGUAGCGGCGAGCGAACGCGGAAGAGCCCAAACCGGAGUGCGUGCACUCCGGGGUUCGGACUGCAGAAUUGACGAGUGAGCCUAGUAGAAUGGUUUUGGGAAAGCCAGCCAGAGAGGGUGAAAGCCCCGUACACGAAAGGCAAGCGAGCGAAGCAGGAUCCAGAGUACCACGAGACACGUGAAACCUUGUGGGAAUGCGCGGGGACCACCCCGUAAGGCUAAAUACUCCUUAGUGACCGAUAGCGCAUAGUACUGUGAAGGAAAGGUGAAAAGGACCCCGGGAGGGGAGUGAAAGAGAACCUGAAACCAUAUGUUUACAAGCUGUGGAACAUCUUUAUAUGAUGAACCGCGUACUUUUUGUAGAACGGUCCGGCGAGUUACGCUGGCUGGCGAGGUUAAGGGCUGAAGGCCCGGAGCCGAAGGGAAACCAAGUCUGAACAGGGCGAAAUAGUCAGUCGGAGUAGACCCGAAACCGGGUGAUCUAUCCAUGUCCAGGUUGAAGUUGCCGUAAAAGGCAAUGGAGGACCGAACCCACAUCCGUUGAAAAGGGUGGGGAUGAGGUGUGGAUAGGGGAGAAAUUCCAAUCGAACCCGGAGAUAGCUGGUUCUCCUCGAAAUAGCUUUAGGGCUAGCCUCAUGCAAGUCUUACGGAGGUAGAGCACUGAAUUCCUAAGGGGGCGUCAAAGCUUACCAAGGGAUAUCAAACUCCGAAUGCCGUGUAGAUGGUGCAUGGGAGUCAGACUAUCCGAGAUAAGUUGGGUAGUCAAAAGGGAAAGAGCCCAGACCUACAGCUAAGGUCCCAAAAUGUGUGUUAAGUGGAAAAGGAUGUGGGAUUUCGAAGACAACUAGGAUGUUGGCUUAGAAGCAGCCAUCCAUUAAAAGAGUGCGUAAUAGCUCACUAGUCGAGAGGUCCUGCGCCGAAAAUGUCCGGGGCUGAAACACACUACCGAAGCUUAGGAAUUGAUGAAUGUCAAUUGGUAGAGGAGCAUUCUUAACGGGGCGAAGCUGUACCGGAAGGAGCAGUGGACUGUUAAGAAGAGAGAAUGCCGGAAUGAGUAGCGAGAGGAAGGUGAGAAUCCUUCCGGCCGAAUAUCUAAGGUUUCCAGAGUAAAGCUGAUCUGCUCUGGGUAAGUCGGGGCCUAAGGCGAGGUCGAAAGACGUAGUCGAUGGAUAACAGGUAAAGAUUCCUGUACUAUAUCAUAACAGAACUGUGGGGACGCAGACAGAGAGCAUAAGCCGGGAAUGGAAAAACCGGUACAAGCGAGGUAGGAGUGCAUCAGGCAAAUCCGGUGCACAAUCUGAAGACGUGAUGUGGGGCGUAAAGCCGGAAGUAUGUGAGCUGGCUGCCAAGAAAAGCCGCUAUUGUUUAUGAUAUACCCGUACCGUAAACCGACACAGGUGGAUGAGGAGAGAAUCCUAAGGCCGACGGGAGAAGCAUUGUUAAGGAACUCGGCAAAAUGACUCCGUAACUUCGGGAGAAGGAGUGCCAUGUAAAAGUGGCCGCAGAGAAUUGGCCCAAGCAACUGUUUAGCAAAAACACAGGUCUAUGCAAAACCGAAAGGUGAGGUAUAUGGGCUGACGCCUGCCCGGUGCUGGAAGGUUAAGGGGAGAGGUUAGCCGUAAGGCGAAGCUUUGAACUUAAGCCCCAGUAAACGGCGGCCGUAACUAUAACGGUCCUAAGGUAGCGAAAUUCCUUGUCGGGUAAGUUCCGACCC